rnacentral:rRNA from 1 species
UGCCAGCCGCCGCGGUAAUACGAAGGGUGCUAGCGUUGUUCGGAAUUACUGGGCGUAAAGAGCAUGUAGGCGGAUGAAUUAGUCAGUGGUGAAAUCCUGCGGCUCAACCGUAGAACUGCCAUUGAUACUGUUAUUCUUGAAUAUAGUUGAGGUAGGCGGAAUGUGUAAUGUAGCGGUGAAAUGCUUAGAUAUUACACAGAACACCGAUUGCGAAGGCAGCUUGCUAAACUAUGAUUGACGCUGAUGCACGAAAGCGUGGGGAGCGAACAGGAUUAGAUA